UACAUCCUGCGGUGUACGCCUCGGUUAUUCGUUGUUUUGAACCAAUGACAUUGUCUAGGGAGAUUAACACGGUACGCGGCCGACCAGCCCUGUCUAUAUGACAAGGGGACUUCGUAAGCGUUUCCUGCAGUCACCCACCUGCUGAAGCAGGUUCAGAAGACACUAUAAUCGGACGGCAUUGCGGGUCUAUA
rnacentral:other from 1 species